rnacentral:rRNA from 1 species
GAUGAACGCUGGCGGCGUGCCUAAUACAUGCAAGUCGAGCGAACAGACGAGAAGCUUGCUCCUCUGACGUUAGCGGCGGACGGGUGAGUAACACGUGGAUAACCUACCUAUAAGACUGGGAUAACUUCGGGAAACCGGAGCUAAUACCGGAUAAUAUAUUGAACCGCAUGGUUCAAUAGUGAAAGACGGUUUUGCUGUCACUUAUAGAUGGAUCCGCGCCGCAUUAGCUAGUUGGUAAGGUAACGGCUUACCAAGGCAACGAUGCGUAGCCGACCUGAGAGGGUGAUCGGCCGCACUGGAACUGAGACACGGUCCAGACUCCUACGGGAGGCAGCAGUAGGGAAUCUUCCGCAAUGGGCGAAAGCCUGACGGAGCAACGCCGCGUGAGUGAUGAAGGUCUUCGGAUCGUAAAACUCUGUUAUUAGGGAAGAACAAAUGUGUAAGUAACUAUGCACGUCUUGACGGUACCUAAUCAGAAAGCCACGGCUAACUACGUG